GGUGGCCACAUUUGUCAUGGCUGUUAUUUGUGGAACUGACAAACUAAGAUGCGAUGUAUUCUUGAACAUGUUUUUGGUCAGUGUUGGUGUUGUAAUAUCCUCCUAUGGGGAAAUUCACUUCAACGUAGUGGGCACAGUUUACCAGGUGACUGGGAUAUUUGCUGAGGCUCUUAGGCUGGUGUUAACUCAAGUUCUUCUCCAGAAAAAAGGAUUAACACUCAAUCCUAUCACCAGUUUAUAUUACAUAGCUCCAUGCAGUUUCGUCUUUCUUUUUAUUCCAUGGUAUCUUCUGGAGAAGCCUGAAAUGGAA
rnacentral:misc_RNA from 1 species